AAAUUUUCAACGGUGGAUAUCUAGGUUCCCAUUACGAUGAAGAACGCAGCAAAAUGCGAUACGCAAUGCGAAUUGCAGAAUUCCGCGAGUCAUCAGAUCUUUGAACGCAAGUGGCGCUGGAGUAAUAUCCAGCAUGUUUGUUUCAG
rnacentral:rRNA from 1 species